AUACAGAGGGUGCAAGCGUUAAUCGGAUUUACUGGGCGUAAAGCGCGCGUAGGUGGCUAAUUAAGUCAAAUGUGAAAUCCCCGAGCUUAACUUGGGAAUUGCAUUCGAUACUGGUUAGCUAGAGUAUGGGAGAGGAUGGUAGAAUUCCAGGUGUAGCGGUGAAAUGCGUAGAGAUAUGGAGGAAUACCGAUGGCGAAGGCAGCCAUCUGGCCUAAUACUGACACUGAGGUGCGAAAGCAUGGGGAGCAAACAGGAUUAGAUACCCUGGUAGUCCAUGCCGUAAACGAUGUCUACUAGCCGUUGGGGCCCUUGAGGCUUUAGUGGCGCAGCUAACGCGAUAAGUAGACCGCCUGGGGAGUACGGUCGCAAGACUAAAACUCAAAUGAAUUGACGGGG
rnacentral:rRNA from 1 species